GCGCACGGGUGAGUAACGCGUAAGUGAUCUACCCCUGUAUUUGGGAUAACUAUGGGAAACUGUAGCUAAUACCGGAUACGUUCAUGUUCUUGCGAGUAUAUGAAGAAAGAUGGCCUCUGAUUCAAGCUAUUGUACAGGGAGGAGCUUGCGUACCAUUAGCUAGUUGGUAGGGUAAUGGCCUACCAAGGCAACGAUGGUUAGCGGGUCUGAGAGGAUGAUCCGCCACACUGGAACUGAAACACGGACCAGACUCCUACGGGAGGCAGCAGUGAGGAAUAUUGCGCAAUGGGGGCAACCCUGACGCAGCGACGCCGCGUGGAUGAUGAAGGCCUUCGGGUCGUAAAAUCCUGUCAGAUGGGAAGAAGUGCAUGGUGGUUAAUACCCAUCAUGUUUGACGGUACCAUCAGAGGAAGCACCGGCUAACUCCGUGCCAGCAGCCGCGGUAAUACGGAGGGUGCAAGCGUUGUUCGGAAUUACUGGGCGUAAAGCGCGCGUAGGCGGUUUGUUAAGUCAGAUGUGAAAGCCCAGGGCUUAACCUUGGACGUGCAUUUGAAACUGGCAGACUUGAGUAUUGGAGGGGGUGGUGGAAUUCCCGGUGUAGAGGUGAAAUUCGUAGAUAUCGGGAGGAAUACCGGUGGCGAAGGCGACCACCUGGCCAAAUACUGACGCUGAGGUGCGAAAGCGUGGGGAGCAAACAGGAUU
rnacentral:rRNA from 1 species